UGCCUAGCUUGCUAGGUGGAUUAGUGGCGAACGGGUGAGUAACACGUGAGUAACCUGCCCCUGACUCUGGGAUAAGCCUGAGAAAUUGGGUCUAAUACUGGAUAUGAACAUUURCCGCAUGGUGGGUGUUGGAAAGAUUUUUUGGUUGGGGAUGGACUCGCGGCCUAUCAGCUUGUUGGUGAGGUAGUGGCUCACCAAGGCGACGACGGGUAGCCGGCCUGAGAGGGUGACCGGCCACACUGGGACUGAGACACGGCCCAGACUCCUACGGGAGGCAGCAGUGGGGAAUAUUGCACAAUGGGCGAAAGCCUGAUGCAGCGACGCCGCGUGAGGGAUGACGGCCUUCGGGUUGUAAACCUCUUUCAGUAAGGAAGAAGCGAAAGUGACGGUACUUGCAGAAGAAGCGCCGGCUAACUACGUGCCAGCAGCCGCGGUAAUACGUAGGGCGCGAGCGUUAUCCGGAAUUAUUGGGCGUAAAGAGCUCGUAGGCGGUUUGUCGCGUCUGCCGUGAAAGUCCGGGGCUUAACUCCGGAUCUGCGGUGGGUACGGGCAGGCUAGAGUGCAGUAGGGGAGACUGGAAUUCCUGGUGUAGCGGUGAAAUGCGCAGAUAUCAGGAGGAACACCGAUGGCGAAGGCAGGUCUCUGGGCUGUAACUGACGCUGAGGAGCGAAAGCAUGGGUAGCGAACAGGAUUAGAUACCCUGGUAGUCCAUGCCGUA
rnacentral:rRNA from 1 species